rnacentral:rRNA from 1 species
AAAUUGAAGAGUUUGAUCAUGGCUCAGAUUGAACGCUGGCGGCAGGCCUAACACAUGCAAGUCGAACGGUAACAGGAAGCAGCUUGCUGCUUCGCUGACGAGUGGCGGACGGGUGAGUAAUGUCUGGGAAACUGCCUGAUGGAGGGGGAUAACUACUGGAAACGGUGGCUAAUACCGCAUAACGUCGCAAGACCAAAGAGGGGGACCUUCGGGCCUCUUGCCAUCAGAUGUGCCCAGAUGGGAUUAGCUUGUUGGUGAGGUAACGGCUCACCAAGGCGACGAUCCCUAGCUGGUCUGAGAGGAUGACCAGCCACACUGGAACUGAGACACGGUCCAGACUCCUACGGGAGGCAGCAGUGGGGAAUAUUGCACAAUGGGCGCAAGCCUGAUGCAGCCAUGCCGCGUGUAUGAAGAAGGCCUUCGGGUUGUAAAGUACUUUCAGCGGGGAGGAAGGUGUUGUGGUUAAUAACCACAGCAAUUGACGUUACCCGCAGAAGAAGCACCGGCUAACUCCGUGCCAGCAGCCGCGGUAAUACGGAGGGUGCAAGCGUUAAUCGGAAUUACUGGGCGUAAAGCGCACGCAGGCGGUCUGUCAAGUCGGAUGUGAAAUCCCCGGGCUCAACCUGGGAACUGCAUUCGAAACUGGCAGGCUUGAGUCUUGUAGAGGGGGGUAGAAUUCCAGGUGUAGCGGUGAAAUGCGUAGAGAUCUGGAGGAAUACCGGUGGCGAAGGCGGCCCCCUGGACAAAGACUGACGCUCAGGUGCGAAAGCGUGGGGAGCAAACAGGAUUAGAUACCCUGGUAGUCCACGCCGUAAACGAUGUCUACUUGGAGGUUGUGCCCUUGAGGCGUGGCUUCCGGAGCUAACGCGUUAAGUAGACCGCCUGGGGAGUACGACCGCAAGGUUAAAACUCAAAUGAAUUGACGGGGGCCCGCACAAGCGGUGGAGCAUGUGGUUUAAUUCGAUGCAACGCGAAGAACCUUACCUGGUCUUGACAUCCACAGAACUUUCCAGAGAUGGAUUGGUGCCUUCGGGAACUGUGAGACAGGUGCUGCAUGGCUGUCGUCAGCUCGUGUUGUGAAAUGUUGGGUUAAGUCCCGCAACGAGCGCAACCCUUAUCCUUUGUUGCCAGCGGUUAGGCCGGGAACUCAAAGGAGACUGCCAGUGAUAAACUGGAGGAAGGUGGGGAUGACGUCAAGUCAUCAUGGCCCUUACGACCAGGGCUACACACGUGCUACAAUGGCGCAUACAAAGAGAAGCGACCUCGCGAGAGCAAGCGGACCUCAUAAAGUGCGUCGUAGUCCGGAUUGGAGUCUGCAACUCGACUCCAUGAAGUCGGAAUCGCUAGUAAUCGUGGAUCAGAAUGCCACGGUGAAUACGUUCCCGGGCCUUGUACACACCGCCCGUCACACCAUGGGAGUGGGUUGCAAAAGAAGUAGGUAGCUUAACCUUCGGGAGGGCGCUUACCACUUUGUGAUUCAUGACUGGGGUGAAGUCGUAACAAGGUAACCGUAGGGGAACCUGCGGUUGGAUCACCUCCUUACCUUAAAGAAGC